UGUGUUGUACUGACUAACGAACUCUGCUCCCCUAGAGUCGACCUGAAGGAUGUUCCAUUGGAAAACCCAGAUCUGAUCCUCUUUGUGGACGGGUCAGCGUCACAUGACCCAGAGACAGCAGGUAAAGGCAGCACUUCCAGCUCCAGCCACGGGUCCACCGCAUGAUCUGAAGCCCAGAGAGUGGAUCGUGAUCAAGGACUUCCGCAGGACCAGGUGGAACGAGCCACGGUGGUCGGGGCCAUUCUAGAUUGUUUUCGUCACUCGCUCCGUGGUAAAGGUCAACCAGAGAGCCACAUGGAUGCGUGCCAGCCACUGUAGGAGGACGCCAGAGCCAAGCAUUGAGCUGGAGAGGACGGGACUCCGACAGGAGGACUAGAAAGUGAUUCUCUAUCAAGAGGCCUCUAGGAGGACCUACGCUCACGAGCAACGAUCUGCAUAUACACACCCACACAACGUCACAUGUCCCUGCAUCACACAGACACAUAAUAAUUAUUCUAUCAUUGAACACAUGCGGUCUGCGAUAUGCAACCCUCCGCAGACUAGCGAGACGGGGUUUGAUUGGCUGAACUCAGUACUCGGGGGAUGGGGCUCGUGGAUAUUAACCGUCUGUCUACCAAUAGGUGCAAUAAUUCUUCUUGUCUUGCUCAUUUUGCCUUGUAUUGUUUCUCUCGUUCGGAGCAGUCUCUCACUCUCGUUGAAAUCACUAAUGACCAAACACUGAUGGUGACAAAGACUGAUUACUAUCCCUAUGAUAACCAACCUGACUUGUAUCCUAAUCCUGACUGGGCAUCAGAUUCUCCCAGCAACACUGAUGAUGACGACCCGUUGACAUCCAUUUCACGACCCAUUGACAUCCAUUUCACACUUAUUGUAAAUAUUCUUUUGGCCAUGACGACUCUCAUUUCACCUUAAAUGAGCUUGUUUGACUACAGGAUACUUUAUAUCCGCUAAAAAACCCUUAGCGCCUUCAUUAUGUCUGUUUUAUGAUGAAUUCAGUUGAACCAUGAAAGGAUUCUGAAGUUCUGAUGUACUCACAGCAUUGUAAUUUCUCUGUUAAUUUUAGUUAUCAUAUUUUGUAAUGAUAAAAUGGGGGAAAUAUGAGGGAAAUUACUCAUUUUUACUUUGUAAUAGUUUUGUUCUUUUUCUAUUUCAUUCUCAUCAGAGGAUAAUGCCUAAGAAGGCCAUGUCAUGUCACUGAGAUCAGUACAGAAUGUUUAUCUGCUUACAGAGACACAAACAUCUUCUUCUGUUCGAGGUCCGUCUGUCCAAUAUCCUAAAACAAAGCCUGUUUGAACUGCCUCAAACUGCUUCUUAUCGGUACACAGAAUUAUGUCAUGCUCUGCGUUUCAUAUAUAUAGUAGUAGUUUAGUACAAGGGCUUCAGAGCGCUCUCAUUAUUCUAUCCUGCUUUAUUCUAUCCUGUAUUAACCAUCUUUCUGUAAUAAACCUUUUUACCUUCA